rnacentral:rRNA from 1 species
CAGUCGCCGCGGGAAUACGAAGGGGGCUAGCGUUGCUCGGAAUGACUGGGCGUAAAGGGCGCGUAGGCGGAUUGUACAGUCUGACGUGAAAUUCCUGGCUCAACCUGGGGACUGCGUUUGAGACGUGCGGUCUAGAGUUUGGAAGAGGGUUGUGGAAUUCCCAGUGUAGAGGUGAAAUUCGUAGAUAUUGGGAAGAACACCGGUGGCGAAGGCGGCAACCUGGUCCUUGACUGACGCUGAGGCGCGAAAGCGUGGGGAGCAAACAGGAUUAGAUACCCGUGUAGUCCCUGUCUCUUAUACA